GACCUCCCAGGGUCGCAUCUGGGGAAUAGCUAGUAUUCUGCCAGCUUCGGAGAUGGGAGGGGAAACAAGCCUGUCAGAGACCCAUUCCAUUCUAGUUUGCUCAGUAGCUGGUGAUUGGAAAAUAACUCUGCGACAGUG